rnacentral:rRNA from 1 species
UGCGUAGGCGGAAUAAUAAGUCAGUGGUGAAAGCCUGCGGCUUAACCGUAGAAAUGCCAUUGAUACUGUUAUUCUUGAGUAUAGUUGAGGUGGGCGGAAUGUGUAAUGUAGCGGUGAAAUGCUUAGAUAUUACACAGAACACCAAUUGCGAAGGCAGCUCACUAAGCUGUUACUGACGCUGAGGCACGAAAGCGUGGGGAGCAAACAGGAUUAGAUACCCUGGUAGUCCACGCCGUAAACGAUGAUCACUCGUUGUUGGCGAUACACCGUCAGCGACUGAGCGAAAGCAAUAAGUGAUCCACCUGGGGAGUACGGCGGCAACGCUGAA